rnacentral:rRNA from 1 species
GAAUGAUUCUCUCCUCCCACUGGAUGGUUGAUUUUCAGUCGGGUGUGUAUUCCUGCUUCCUGGGUGAACAUUCAUAAAAAUAGGGUUGUUGGGAGAGCAUGCGUUCCGAUCCCGCCCGCGCGCGCCCGGGCGGUUCGGCGCCCGCGUGCGGGUAACCACACUCCGAUGUAAGGACGUCUCUUUCGAGUGGUACAAGCAAAUAAUCAAAACUUUUAACAACGGAUCUCUUGGUUCUGGCAUCGAUGAAGAACGCAGCGAAAUGCGAUAAGUAAUGUGAAUUGCAGAAUUCAGUGAAUCAUUGAAUCUUUGAACGCACAUUGCGCCCGCCAGCAUUCUGGCGGGCAUGCCUGUUCGAGCGUCAUUUCAACCCUCAAGCUCUGCUUGGUGUUGGGGCCCUACAGCUGAUGUAGGCCCUCAAAGGUAGUGGCGGACCCUCCCGGAGCCUCCUUUGCGUAGUAACUUUACGUCUCGCACUGGGAUCCGGAGGGACUCUUGCCGUAAAACCCCCAAUUCUCUCAUAUAGGUUGACGUCGGAUCAGGUAGGAAUGUGCGCGCAGAAGUAGG